rnacentral:rRNA from 1 species
UACGUAGGCAGCGAGCGUUGUUCGGAGUUACUGGGCGUAAAGUGUGCGCAGGCGGCCGCGCAAGUCGAGUGUGAAAGCCCCGGGCUUAACUUGGGAAUUGCGCUCGAAACUACGUGGCUGGAGUGUGGCAGAGGAAGGUGGAAUUCCGGGUGUAGUGGUGAAAUGCGUAGAGAUCCGGAGGAACCCCAGAGGCGAAGGCGGCGUCCUGGCCCAUUUCUGACGUUCAGACAUGACAGCAUGGGGAGCGAACGGG